rnacentral:rRNA from 1 species
CCUACGGGGGGCAGCAGUGAGGAAUAUUGGUCAAUGGGCGCGAGCCUGAACCAGCCAAGUAGCGUGAAGGAAGACUGCCCUACGGUUUGUAAACUUCUUUUAUAAAGGAAUAAAGUGAGGCACGCGUGCCUUUUUGUAUGUACUUUACGAAUAAGGAUCGGCUAACUCCGUGCCAGCAGCCGCGGUAAUAAGGCGGAUCCGAGCGUUAUCCGGAUUUAUUGGGUUUAAAGGGAGCGUAGGUGGGUUGUUAAGUCAGUUGUGAAAGUUUGCGGCUCAACCGUAGAAUUGCCGUUGAUACUGGCAGGCUUGAGUACAGUAGAGGUAGGCGGAAUUCGUGGUGUAGCGGUGAAAUGCAUAGAUAUCACGAAGAACUCCGAUUGCGAAGGCAGCUUACUGAACUGCGACUGACAUUGAUGCUCGAAAGUGUGGGUAUCAAACAGGAUUAGAUACCCCAGUAGUC